GGGGUGAGCCAAGAGUGAAAAUGGGAAGAUCAGUAAGGAAACAACAGUCUAAGUGAGAGAUGAUGUAUCUUUGAUGAAGACGGAGGGGAACAUGAGAUGUGGCCUAGGUUAGUCCUCAGUUUCCUGACCGAGGGAUGGAAGCACAGCUACAAGCUUCUCCGGGGAACCAGCUAUAACACAAAGAUUUGGUACUGUCUGUCUCUUCCAUUUCAAAAAACUACAAAUUACGUGCUUUGAGACAUGAGGAAGGAAAACAUUGAUUGUAUAGGACAUUUCAGUAGAGUAGAAGGUAUUCUAAUUCACAUGAUAAUCAACACAGGCUUUUUCUUUGGAACAGAUUGCAUAAUCGAACAUUUUUAUGGAUUUUGAUAAACAUACUUUACUCUCAGAGGGA